AUUGAACGCUGGCGGCAGGCCUAACACAUGCAAGUCGAACGAGUGGCGGACGGGUGAGUAAUGUCUGGGAAACUGCCCGAUGGAGGGGGAUAACUACUGGAAACGGUAGCUAAUACCGCAUACCAUCGGAUGUGCCCAGAUGGGAUUAGCUAGUAGGUGGGGUAACGGCUCACCUAGGCGACGAUCCCUAGCUGGUCUGAGAGGAUGACCGGCCACAUGGGAACUGAGCAACGGUCCAGAUCCCUAGGGGAGGCAGAAGUGGGGAAUAUUGCACAAGGGGCGCAAGCCUGAUGCAGACAUGCCGCGUGUAUGAAGAAGGCCUUCGGGUGGUAAAGUACGUUCAGCGAGGAGGCGUUACUCGCAGAGGAAGCACCGGCUAACUCCGUGCCAGCAGCCGCGGUAAUUC
rnacentral:rRNA from 1 species